rnacentral:rRNA from 1 species
AUCGAACGCUGGCGGCAGGCCUAAUACAUGCAAGUCGAACGAGUGGCGGACGGGUGAGUAAUGUCUGGGAAACUGCCUGAUGGAGGGGGAUAACGACUGGAAACGGUAGAUAAUACCGCAUAAUAUCCGUUGUGCCUAGAUGGGAUUAGCUUGUUGGUGGGGUAACGGCCUACCAAGGCGACGAUCCCUAGCUGGUCUGAGAGGAUGACCAGCCACACUGGAACGGAGACACGGUCCAGACUCCUACGGGAGGCAGCAGUGGGGAAUAUUGGACAAUGGGCGAAAGCCUGAUCCAGCCAUGCCGCGUGUGUGAAGAAGGGCUUCGGAUUGUAAAGUACUUUCAGCGGGGAGGCGUUACCAACAGAAUAAGCACCGGCUAACUCCGUGCCAGCAGCCGCGGUAAUUC